CUUAACUUAAAGCUGUAAAUGCUUUAUUUUGACCAACUGUGAGCAUGUGACUGUACUUUUUCAUUUUGUUAUGCUGUUUUGUUGAGGUCGUGUUCCUAAGGCCUGUAGUUACAGUUGGUGCUAUUAGCAAUAAACAUUUCACACCCAUCAUCAUGACAUCUGUUAACUUGUGAAUGUAACUGUCUUUAAAAAAAGGAAUCUUGCAGUGAAGAUCAUUCCCGGGCAGUGGUCAGAAAAAAAGAGCUUUGACUUGAAGGGUUUUCCAAGCCAAGACUAUGGAGUUGACUGUGGGAUCUUCAUGCUGAUGUCUGCUCUGUACGUGGCACUGGAUGCACCAUAUUGACUAUACUGUAUCAGACAUGCCCUACUUGUGUAAAUGGUGGUGCUUGCUGUUGAUGGAGAACUUUGAUCUCAGGAGCUCUGGCAAGCUAUUUGCACACUGGAGAGAGGAAGCCAAAGCUGUGCUUGAAGGACAACACGUGCCCAUUGUCAGACUGAAAAAGUUCCAGGAAGUCAGUCAUGAGCCAGCAGUUGUUGAAGAUCUGCGUCCUGCUGUGCAGUGGGCUGUCCAAAAUAAGGCACUUUUCCGUGGACACGUAACAAUGCCAAAAUAUCUGUCCUUAAAUCAAGGGGACCAGCAGAGGGUCUUAAGAGACAUGUCAGAGGAAGAAGACACUGGAGCAAGGGACUUGUUCCUCUUUGUUUUUCAGUUUGCAGAGGACAUGGAGCUCUUUUUGAAAGCAUGUGCUGAUGAGCAGGGGCUAAGGGUCA